CGGCAGGCUUAACACAUGCAAGUCGAGCGAUCCCUUCGGGGAUAGCGGCGGACGGGUGAGUAACGCGUGGGAACGUGCCCUUCACUACGGAAUAGCCCAUGGAAACGUGGAUUAAUACCGUAUACGCCCUUCGGGGGAAAGAAUUUCGGUGAGGGAUCGGCCCGCGUCUGAUUAGGUAGUUGGUGGGGUAAUGGCCUACCAAGCCGACGAUCAGUAGCUGGUUUUAGAGGAUGAUCAGCCACACUGGGACUGAGACACGGCCCAGACUCCUACGGGAGGCAGCAGUGGGGAAUCUUAGACAAUGGGGGCAACCCUGAUCUAGCCAUGCCGCGUGAGUGAUGAAGGUCUUAGGAUCGUAAAGCUCUUUCGCCUGUGAUGAUAAUGACAGUAGCAGGUAAAGAAACCCCGGCUAACUCCGUGCCAGCAGCCGCGGUAAUACGGAGGGGGUUAGCGUUGUUCGGAAUUACUGGGCGUAAAGCGCGCGUAGGCGGACUGGAAAGUUGGGGGUGAAAUCCCGGGGCUCAACCCCGGAACUGCCUUCAAAACUAUCAGUCUAGAGUUCGAGAGAGGUGAGUGGAAUUGCGAGUGUAGAGGUGAAAUUCGUAGAUAUUCGCAGGAACACCAGUGGCGAAGGCGGCUCACUGGCUCGAUACUGACGCUGAGGUGCGAAAGUGUGGGGAGCAAACAGGAUUAGAUACCCUGGU
rnacentral:rRNA from 1 species